UGGAGCUCUGUCACGCAGAGAAUGCUGGGAGUUGUAGUUGUGAUGGCAUUUCCCGCCAUACAGUGCAGGUCACGUGUCAGCAGACUCGGCCUUCUCUGAUUGGUUACUGAGAUGUAGCUGUGAGGAUCCUGUACAGUCGGUUUCGGGGUCCCUUUACCCAGGAUCCCCCUCGGUGAGCUCAGACCCCAUCACAGCUGGAACCGCCGAGCUGAGCGCA